AUCUGUAGCAGAAACUUCGAUGUUUGACUAUCACAGUAUUCUGCUUUGUUAGGAUCUUGAAUACGUUCAAACGUUGGAUUUAUUAUUUAUUUUUGUUUUUCUUCUUCGGAUAUAGGCCUGUGGGUAUGUAUUUGUUUUCUUUGUAGGAAAGUUCUCAAAAAAUGAUCCAGAUCGUUACAUAGGCAUUGUUGGUAUCAAAAAUCUUGUAGACCUUGGAGACAACGAAACCACCACAAAGCCAAUUGCAAGGGAAUGCAGGAUGUUGACGGACGGGGUAUCGCAAUUGAAGAUCCAAUAUUGGGAGAAGAGUUUCGAAAAAUUAGACGGACUAACCCCAAAAAUUCAGGGAAAUGUUUGGUAAGAGGGUUGCGAUUCAAGAUGCAUCCUAAUCUACUAUGUAUGUUGCUUUGACACUGAGGUCCAAAUGAAUCAUCAGUGUGUCUGUUCCUAAUCUACUAUGUCUGUUGCUUUGACAUGCUUGGAUUGUCAGCAGUUGAUGUACAUCUAUAUGACGAGGUGUGCAUAUACGAGAUCACUCAGUUGGAUCUUUGGACGCUUAGAUUUAUACCAUUCUCAUUUGUAUGAGAAACAUGAUACACGGUGUACUUCAAGUUAGUGUUUGAGUUACAACUAUUGAGAAAACUGCAACCACCAUUGUAGAAGGGGCGGAACAAAAACUUUGGCGUGUUUCCUCCAUGCAUCUAUCGACAAUAGGCUUUGAGGAAUACCAAUUUGGGAUAUAUUUGACCAUUUAAAGACACACGAGGUGUUAGGCAGAAAGCCUGAACUAUCACCUGUUUGGUUCCAUUAGGUCGCUGCCAUGGAUUCGUUGGCUGUUUACAAAGAGUUAUAAAGCCUGAACCAUCACCUUUUUUAGAAACAUGGUGUCCAAUGUUUUCGAAUCAGUUAAUUUUUUUUCUUUUACAUAAUCAAAUUACUCCAGUGAACAUUGUUUUAAAAUUUUUAAACUCAUAUGUUUCAU